UGGGGAAUUUUGGACAAUGGGCGAAAGCCUGAUCCAGCAAUGCCGCGUGUGUGAAGAAGGCCUUCGGGUUGUAAAGCACUUUUGUCCGGAAAGAAAUCCUUGGCUCUAAUACAGUCGGGGGAUGACGGUACCGGAAGAAUAAGCACCGGCUAACUACGUGCCAGCAGCCGCGGUAAUACGUAGGGUGCAAGCGUUAAUCGGAAUUACUGGGCGUAAAGCGUGCGCAGGCGGUUUGCUAAGACCGAUGUGAAAUCCCCGGGCUCAACCUGGGAACUGCAUUGGUGACUGGCAGGCUAGAGUAUGGCAGAGGGGGGUAGAAUUCCACGUGUAGCAGUGAAAUGCGUAGAGAUGUGGAGGAAUACCGAUGGCGAAGGCAGCCCCCUGGGCCAAUACUGACGCUCAUGCACGAAAGCGUGGGGAGCAAACAGGAUUAGAUACCCUGGUAGUCCACGCCCUAAACGAUGUCAACUAGUUGUUGGGGAUUCAUUUCCUUAGUAACGUAGCUGAUGCGUGAAGUUGACCGCCUGGGGAGUACGGUCGCAAGAUUAAAACUU
rnacentral:rRNA from 1 species